GAUCAUGGCUCAGGAUGAACGCUAGCUACAGGCUUAACACAUGCAAGUCGAGGGGCAGCAUAGUGUUCUAGCAAUAGAAUACGGAUGGCGACCGGCGCACGGGUGAGUAACGCGUAUCCAACCUGCCUUACACUCUUGGACAGCCUUCUGAAAGGGAGAUUAAUACAAGAUGUUAUCAUGAGUAAGCAUUUUCGCAUGAUUAAAGGCUUACCGGUGUAAGAUGGGGA
rnacentral:rRNA from 1 species